CACAGGUGCUGCAUGGCUGUCGUCAGCUCGUGUCGUGAGAUGUUCGGUUAAGUCCGCUAACGAGCGCAACCCUCACUGUGUGUUACAUGUGUCACACGGGACUGCCGGUUUAAGCCGGAGGAAGGCGAGGAUGACGUCAAGUCAGCAUGGCCUUUAUAUCUUGGGCUACACACACGCUACAAUGGUCUGUACAGUAGGUUGCCAAGCCGCGAGGCGGAGCCAAUCCUUAAAGCAGGCCUCAGUUCAGAUUGCAGGCUGCAACCCGCCUGCAUGAAGAUGGAGUUGCUAGUAACCGCAGGUCAGCUAUACUGCGGUGAAUACGUUCCCGGGUCUU
rnacentral:rRNA from 1 species